rnacentral:rRNA from 1 species
AGAAUAUUAGUCAAUGCUCGCAGAGUGAACUAGCUAACUGAAAUCCUAAUUUCACUUAAUCGUGCAAUUAUGAUAAGGUAAGGGAAAAAAAUGAUAAUACCUUACUAUUAGUGUGGUCUAAAUUACUGGUGCCAGAAGACUCGGUAACACCAGAAACGCGAACGUUAGUCGUCUUAAACAGGCGUAAAGGGUAAGUAGGCAGCUUUAUAAAAGUUUAUGUUAAUUUAAGCUAUAAAUAUUUUAAAUGUAAUUUAUUUAGUUUUUAAUGUAGAUUGAUUAAAAGCUAGAAUCAUAUUGAGAUAAACCAAAUAAUACUUAAGUGUAGGGAUAAUAUCCAUAGAUACUAAGUGGAAUACUAAUGGUGUAAACUUUUAUCUACUAAUGAUUGACGCUGAGGAACGAAAGUGAGAACAGGGAAUAGGAUUAGAUACCCAGUUACCUCUCACCGUCAACGAUGAAUGGUAGUUAUUAUUUUUGAAUAAAAAUUAGUAACGAUGUUAACGCGAUAACCAUUCCGCCUUGAGAGUACGGUUGCAAAACUGAAACCAAAAAAAUUAGUCGGUCUCGGAGCAACGAAGUGAAGCAU